rnacentral:rRNA from 1 species
AGGGAAUAUUGCGCAAUGGACGGAAGUCUGACGCAGCGACGCCGCGUGAGCGAUGAAGGUCUUCGGAUCGUAAAGCUCUGUCCUUGGGGAAGAAGGUCUUCGGACUUGACGGUACCCAAGAAGAAAGCCCCGGCUAACUACGUGCCAGCAGCCGCGGUAAUACGUAGGGGGCGAGCGUUGUCCGGAAUUACUGGGCGUAAAGGGUGCGUAGGCGGCCCUUUAAGUCGGAUGUGAAAGCCCGCGGCUAAACCGCGGAAUGGCAUUCGAAACUGGAGGGCUUGAGUGUCGGAGAGGGUAGUGGAAUUCCCAGUGUAGCGGUGAAAUGCGUAGAUAUUGGGAGGAACACCAGUGGCGAAGGCGACUACCUGGACGAUAACUGACGCUGAGGCACGAAAGCUAGGGGAGCAAAC